rnacentral:rRNA from 1 species
UACGAAGGGGGCUAGCGUUGCUCGGAAUCACUGGGCGUAAAGCGCACGUAGGCGGCUUUCUAAGUCGGGGGUGAAAUCCUGGAGCUCAACUCCAGAACUGCCUUUGAUACUGGAAAGCUUGAGUUCGGGAGAGGUGAGUGGAACUGCGAGUGUAGAGGUGAAAUUCGUAGAUAUUCGCAAGAACACCAGUGGCGAAGGCGGCUCACUGGCCCGAUACUGACGCUGAGGUGCGAAAGCGUGGGGAGCAAACAGG